rnacentral:pre_miRNA from 1 species
GAUUUCAACUGAAAAAUUCAUCAAUAACAAAGUGGUAUAACUCAUCAAGAUCCAUAACUUUUAUUUGGGUCAUUUCUUCAUCCGAUAAAGUGAUUUAUAAGAUUGUUUACAAAAUGUAUAUAUCUCUUAUAUAGUUUAUAAACUAUAGGAGAUAUAUGUAAAUUUUGUGAACAAUGUUACUAUCACUUUGUCGGAUGAAAAAAUAAACAAAAUAAAAGUUAUAGAUAUUGAUGAGUUAUACAUCUUUAUUGUUGAUAACUUUUUCAGUUGAAAUC